UACGUAGGUGGCAAGCGUUGUCCGGAUUUACUGGGUGUAAAGGGCGUGUAGGCGGGUCUGCAAGUCAGAUGUGAAAUUUAUGGGCUUAACCCAUAAACUGCAUUUGAAACUGCAGGUCUUGAGUGAUGGAGAGGCAGGCGGAAUUCCUAGUGUAGCGGUGAAAUGCGUAGAUAUUAGGAGGAACACCAGUGGCGAAGGCGGCCUGCUGGACAUUAACUGACGCUGAUGCGCGAAAGCGUGGGGAGCAAACAGG
rnacentral:rRNA from 1 species